AAUAGAUACCCUGGUAGUCCACGCCGUAAACGUUGGAUACUAGGUGUGGCGGUCUUACCAACGACUGCCGUGCCGAAGCUAACGCAUUAAGUAUCCCGCCUGGGGAGUACGGCCGCAAGGCUAAAACUCAAAGGAAUUGACGGGUCCCCGCACAAGCGGCGGAGCAUGCGGCUUAAUUCGAUGCAACCCGAAGAACCUUACCUGGGUUUGACAUCACGGGAAAAGCUGUAGAAAUACAGUGUCCAUUAGGGCCCGUGACAGGUGGUGCAUGGCUGUCGUCAGCUCGUGUCGUGAGAUGUUGGGUUAAGUCCCGCAACGAGCGCAACCCUUGUCCUAUGUUGCCAGCGGUUCGGCCGGGGACUCAUAGGAGACUGCCGGGGAUAACUCGGAGGAAGGUGAGGACGACGUCAAGUCAUCAUGCCCCUUAUAUCCAGGGCUGCACGCAUGCUACAAUGGCCGGUACAACGGGCAGCGAUCCCGCGAGGGUGAGCGAAUCCUAAAAAGCCGGUCCUAGUUCGGAUUGAAGUCUGCAACUCGACUU
rnacentral:rRNA from 1 species